GUGGCAAUAGCUCAGUGGUAGAGCCCCCGCUUCACAUGCGGGGAGACUCGGGUUCGAUUCCCGGCUGCUUCC
rfam:Toxocara canis scaffold606, whole genome shotgun sequence.